rnacentral:lncRNA from 1 species
UUUUUUUUUUUUUUAAAAGAGAAAUUUAAAAGUUUGAAUAUGUUUUUGUGUGUCUGUCUGUAUGCCAUGUCUGUGCAGGUGCCCGUGGCUGUUAGAAGGCACUAUAUAUAUAUAUAUCUAUCUCCAUCCCUUGGAGCUGGCGCUCUAGGCAGUUGUGAGCUGACCAGCAUAGCUGGGAACCAAACGUGGGUCUUCUGCACGAGUAGCAGUAACAAGCACUGAGCCUUGUCUCCAGUUGUUAGACCUGUUUUUCAUUUAACAUUCCUAUCAUUAGUUUUCCCUUACAUGAUAUUGUAAACAGUGAGAAAAAACUAGGCUACAGAGUUAGGAUAUUGCCCAGAAAUCUCACUAAGUCUGUGUUUGAAAGUUGCACUUUUUACAGGUCGGCUCUUUUCCUUUUCUACAGAUUGUUUCUCCUCAUUUCCUUCUUAGUUUCCUGGAGGUUCCUGUAACCCUCACGGUCUCUCCUGAAAGGUGUUCAUGCCCUGGUUUCUCCUGGUGGAGAUGUUUAUAUCCUCUAGUGUUUUUACCUUCUGUGAGACAUGGUCUCACCAUGGACCUCUGGCUGGCCUGGAGCUCAGAAGAGAUGUGCCAGUCUCUGCCUGUGGAGCCCUGAGAUUAAGGCAUGUGCUGCUGCCAUCCCCGGCUGGAUGUUUACAUGCUCUCACACAGUGUCUGCCUUCUCUGCUGGGCGGCUGCUGGCUUGCUUUUGAGCCCUCACAGAUUCAUCUCUCACGUGUGCACUUCUGUCAGCAGCCUGUUCAGGGCAAUCUGGACCCUUCCCAUCAUGCUUCUGAACAUCUUCUCAGCCUCUUCAUUUCCAAGUCAAAGACACUAAACAGUUUUAGCACAACAUCUGACUUGCAGGCACCAAAAUGUAGUAGUUGGAGAAACAACCAGUACGAGAGGCCUCCUGAAAGGCUAUGGCGGGGGUUGGGUCAUGUGCUUAUGAGGGCUGGCUUAACGAGUUUGAUACUGACUUGGCUGUCGAGGCGAGGCUGCUGCUGCUGUCCAAAGGUGGAAUUUCUUCUAGGAAUCUGAAGUUCUGCCAUUUAAAACAUUUAUUUAUCUUUUGGUUUGGGUCUUGGUGUGUAGCACAGGCUGGACUAAGAUUUCUGCCUUCCUACAGAAGCCCUAGGUCCUGGUAUACACUUGUCAGUGUUGUCCGUCGCAGCUGCACAGCGCGUCCAGCAGCCUGCUCUUAGGCUUUUUCAGUGACUGGAAUCCAGCACAUUCACAUUAUGUAAACUGGCUUUCUCUGCCAGGGUGGAGUGAUUAUGGACAUUAGAUGUCGACAGAAUAUCUUCAUGAGAGCCUGAAUGUAUGCUUGAGUAACUGGGAGCUUAAGCUUAAGAGUCCCUAUCAAGUCAUCUGUCAUCCCAGCACUUGAGAAUCAAAGUCAAGAAGAUCUGAAGUUCAGGGCCAGCCUGAGCUACAUCUGUCUCUGCUAUGUAAAACCAAAGGCUGGGGAUUUAUUUCACUGGUGGAAUGUUGGCUUAGUUCAAGGCCUUCGCUGAAAUCCCUCAUGCUGCAUAAAUCAAACCCAAAACUCCAGCCAUACUGUUAUUAUAAUAACUUUGAACUGGAUUGUCCAUUUUUUCUUCUUGAUCUACGUACAUAUGUAUGCAUGCAUGCAUGAAAUGUAUCCCUGCAAACUGGAAAACCCAAGUUCAAUCCCCAGAACCUGAGUAAAAGUGCAAGAAGAGACCUGACUGUACAGAGGUUGUCCUCUGACCUCUGUAUGCCCGUGCACGCAUGCACACAACCACACUUGUUUAGAAGAAAAGUGAUGGUCACACAAGAGUGUAAGCUGAUCAAAACUUAAUUGCAGUUGUACAUUAAGAUUUUUUUCAAUGUGUGUAAUCUAUACCUUAUGCUUUGUGCCAGCGUGCAUGUUGGUGUAUAUAUAUGUGCACAGGUGCUCACAUAGGCCAGAAGGGAGUGUCGGCUCUCAUGGAGUUGGACUUACAGGUGUUUGUGAGCCCCCUGAUGUGGGUGCUGAGAUCUGAACUCUACACUACUGAAAAAGCAGUAAGCAUUCUUAACUUCUGAGCCAUCUAGCUAGCCCUAUCAAAUAUACUUCAAAGUUGGUUUAAAAAAUACUCUGCAAAAGAAAAAAC